UACGUAGGGUGCAAGCGUUAAUCGGAAUUACUGGGCGUAAAGCGUGCGCAGGCGGCUAUGCAAGACAGAUGUGAAAUCCCCGGGCUCAACCUGGGAACUGCAUUUGUGACUGCAUGGCUAGAGUGCGGCAGAGGGGGAUGGAAUUCCGCGUGUAGCAGUGAAAUGCGUAGAUGUGCGGAGGAACACCGAUGGCGAAGGCAAUCCCCUGGGCCUGCACUGACGCUCAUGCACGAAAGCGUGGGGAGCAAACAGG
rnacentral:rRNA from 1 species